rnacentral:lncRNA from 1 species
ACGGGACACCUGCAUCUGCCAACAAGACUGGAAGCAGAAAGGGACAGAGACGGCGAAGUUUGACGGUCUGGAAAGCAGAGACCAGCAGGGCUGACUGCUUGGGAGGAGGAGAAUGCUAUUUAUUUCAGCACCAAAUAUCCGGACAGCGCCUCUCGGGAGGUCCGAGAAGAGAACCGCGAUCUGUUUCAGCACCGGGGCUCAGGACAGUUCCCAGCGGGCUCCGUUUCGUCUCCAGAACCCUGGACAGCUCCUCCAGCUUGGAAUGCACUCCCUCCACCUCCAACCAGAGCUCCCCACAACUGACCCUGCCUUCUUCUGCAAGCUCCAUUUCAUCAAGGGAAACGAUCCUUAUUGCCUCACCAUUUCCCACGUGAAGUCUGUAUUGACAUUCUCAUAGACCUGGGAUAUUGUGUCUGCAGCACAUAGUCCAAUUAUUUUCAUGUUAUCUACUGACAGGUCUAUUUGUCUCCCUGUUACACUGUGAGCUCCGUGAGGGCAGAAACAAUGUUAGUAUUUUCACUGCUGUGUCCCCAGCGCCUGGUCCGGGGCCCGGCACACAGCAGGCAUAUAAUAAGCAUGUGUUGAAUCAAUAAAGGCAUCAAAGAAUAAACCAA